ACCUCACAAAUAAUAUGUUUAUUGCAUCUUAAAAUCUUUAUUUACCACCAAAACAUUAAAAAUAUGAUUUAUCUCUGAUAUUUGCGGACGUCUCUUCGAUAUAUAUAUAUUUUUCUAUGGUCUCUUCGAAGUUCACCCAGUUGACUAUUUGUAGUUGUUUCAUGCGAGAUGGACACAGAAAUUGUUACGGAGGAAUAAAAACACUUUAAGAUCUGGUUACAUCUUUAUAAAAAAUAAUAAUAAUCUAUGGAAACAAUAUAUACAUACAACGUUAUUGGAAGGAGAUGAGGAAGGGAAGAAGUUGGUGGCUAGGUUCCGUUGUGGAAACGAGGAGAGAGCUAACAGAUACUGGAUGGCCGAUGAGGAGAGUAUCGUCUUUAUCGACCUUACUACUAACGCCAUCUACCUAACACCGUAUACAACAGGAACAUAUGUUGAAUGGGUGCAGUGAGUUGAGGGAGGAGGAGUUGAACCGAGGGCAGAUCUUAGGAGAGGGGAACCGAUGGAUGAGAAUGGUUGUGGGGUUAAGGAGACAAAGGGAAGGAUGAGGGGAUGAUUGGGCCGAGGAGCCAAGGGUAUGG